UUUUUUCUUCCUCUUCAUCAUCUUUUUUUUUAUUUUUCCGUUUGUCACGAUCUGUUUAUGUCCAUGUUUGAUAUUUUAUGGUUUUAAAAUUUUUAAGGUUUUGAAUCUCUCUCUCUCUUCUUCUUCCUGCUUCGACUCAUUCAUUUUUCAUCAUCGUCUCAUUCAGCUAUCAUAUGUUGUUUAUAUAUUUUUUCUGAGUUUGUUGUUAUGAUUUGUUCCAAAGCUUAUGUUUUAAUGUAUUUUUGUUUGUGUUUACAAACAUUUAUCUCUUCAUCAUCUUUUUG
rnacentral:lncRNA from 1 species